CACUAGCGUAUACUAAAGUUGUUGCUGUUAAAAAGCUCGUAGUUGGAUAUCAGUCCAAACAGCCUGGCCCGGUUGUGUAUACAACCGCGCGCCUUAACGAUUCGUUCGGCUGCUCGGACUUAAUUCAGGACUGCCGGUCUGGUCAUUUACUUGGCACGGGUCGGCGAGCCCUGAUCUUUUACUUUGAGAAAAUUAAAGUGCUCAAAGCAGGCUGUCGCCUGAAUGCAUUAGCAUGGAAUAAUAAAACACGACUUUGGCAUCGGGUCGUUCACACGAUCCGAACGUUUUGUUGGUUUUGGGCCAAAGUAAUGAUUGAUAGAAACAAUUGGGGAUGCUAGUAUCGCCGGGCCAGAGGUAAAAUUCUUUGAUUCCGGUGAGACUAACUUAUGCGAAAGCAUUCAUCAAGUGUGUUUUCUUUAAUCAAGAACUAAAGUUGGGGGAUCGAAGACGAUCAGAUACCGU
rnacentral:rRNA from 1 species